GGGGUUGUGGCUCAGUGGUAGAGCGCUUGCCUAGCAUGUUAGAGGCCCUGGGUUCAAUCCUCAGCAUCAUUU
rnacentral:tRNA from 1 species